rnacentral:rRNA from 1 species
AUGUGGCUUGCCCGGGGAUGUCAGUUGGCCGUGGCGGUGACGACGGUGGCGGUGAGCGCGAGCCUGGAGCUUCGGGCGUGCGCGCGAGGAGCACGCUCCAGUGGAUUUGGUGCACGCCUCUGCCGUCGCCUGGCAUUAGAGAGGCCGAGGAUUUGGUGCGCGCCUCUGCCGUCGCAUUCCCGGAGCCGUCCGAGCUUGUCGUUCUUCGGUGGGCUGCAAUGUUGUCCAAGUUCGUCGUUGGCCAGUGCGCGGGUGUUCUUGGAGGCGGUUAGGUCGCCGAGCGCGAGCCCUGCAGCCCUAGGCAUAGAUGUGUGUGCCUGA